GGAUGGAUUGGCCCCCCAGCCCUUCCGUGUCCUCAUACGUGACUGGACAGCGAUAGUGACCACCUCAAUGUCCCCCUCCCCACCCAGACCGGCCCCUGCCCCCCAAACCCACCGUCGCCAUCCUAGAGGUGGUCUGACCAGAGCAGAAGACAACCACAGCUCCAAGUACAAGUUCAGCCCAGUGUGAACAUUGAGCCCCCAACACCAACACCAACCCCCAGCCUGAGCCCAGCUCCACCAUCACCACCACCUCCUGCUGCUGAUCCACCUCCAGACAUACAGGAUCCAGAGGAGGAGGAGCUCCUAGAUGCUCUUAUAGAGUUGAAUGGUCUGGUCUCUCCUCCUAUGUACCACGGCCCUGUGUUACCCUGCAGAACCCCUACCACCCCCAGACCCUGUCCUCAGCUCCAUCCAACACAGAGAGACCCUGGAGAACAGACUGGUCGACUGGGUGGAGCAGCAGCUGAUGGCCAGGAUGAUCUCAGAGAUGUACCGCUCCCCUCCGGCUGACCCCGCCCAGAACCAGAGCCCCUCCCACUCCGAGCCAGAGGACAGUGCUACCUCAGAUAUCGUGGAGGCUGCGAGUGGAGAGGGCCUACAGCUGUUUGUGGAUGCCAGUGUUCCUGUCAGACAGUAUGUGAACGAGGCCCUGGCAGAGACCAUAGCUCUGAUGCUGGGACAGAGAGAGGGACAGGAGAUACCUGUAGCACCAGCCAAGCCUCAGGAUCAUCCUCCACCACAGUCAAUCAAUCAAUCAAUGUCUUAAUUGUAGCAAUUAAAACAUUUGUUGAGCAAUCAGGGAGCCCUUGGUGCCAACCCCAGGUCCCACCCCGUCGCCCAGUGUUAGUCCUGGGCCCCCCAGCAGAGGCCUGUCCCCCCUGGCCACCCCACAGGCCUUGGAGCAGGGGACCCCACAGCAGUCACCCAGAGAGCCCCAGCCUCCUGAGGCCCACACCUCUACACCUGCAGACUAAUGUCAGUGGCUAAAGAUGAGCCUGUCUGUGUGGUCUCUCCAGUCCCACCUGCACCCCCCAGCCACAGCCCCUGCCUCCCUACUGCCCUACCCCACCACCCCCACCUGGGCCUCAGACCUCCUCCACUCCCUCCUCCUGGUCCUCGGAGGAGAAUAGCAGUAGCAGCAGUAGUUCCACUGUCACAGACACUGCUGCUAGACACAUCUGAGCAGGAGAGCUGUUCCUUAGCUACAGCCAUGUGGCAGCAGCACCAGCCUUUGAGGAGGAAGGCUUCUAUGUUCCCUAUCUGAUCAACAGCUUCUCCAGCUCCCUGCAGGAGGUCCAGGACCUGAAGUUACACACGCAACGAGCUUCCAGGACACUCAGCGGCCGGUUGACAUCAGGGACCUGGAUAUGUAGCCAGAGAUGCCAUUUCAGCCUCCUUAGUCUGACACCUCAAUGUCACCUCCACUGCUGGAGGACUCCAUCUCCCACAGUGCA